AUGUAAAAGGAUGGCAGUUCUGUCCCUAAGUAACUAGAUAGUGUGAUUGCUGUGUCCGUUGCUUAAAAUUCAAUCUGUAGAGCCAGGCUCACACCUGUAAUCCUGGCUACUCAGAAGGCUGACAUCUGAGGAUUAUGGUUCAAAGCUAGCAAAGGAAGAAAAUUUGUAAGCCAAACUGGAGCUAUGGCUCAAGUGUGAGAAUGCUAUCCGUAACCAGAAAAGUUCAAGGAUUCAAAAGCUCAGGGCCUAGUGCCUAGGCCCACCAUUGACACAAAUUAAAAAAAGAAACUUCAGUGUCUCUAUCAACUGUUAUUUUAAGCCAAAAUCCACAAGCAAUAAAAUAAAUAAUGCUACCCAGUAUCUUAUGCUUUAUUUAGCUUACUAAAGACGACAGGACUCACAAAUUAUGGGAAAAUCAGCAUUAUUUAUGAUCCACAUUGUAGUAGAUAUCCAUUGUUCUGUUGCUGCCCAUAAUCCACAUCCUCUUCUAUAGUAUUCUGAUUUCCUUUCAAGGCUUUGCCUCUCACUCACAGGAAAUGGACAAAGAACAGGAUCCUAAAUCCAUCCCUUUCUUAGAUGUUGGCAUGCUGGCCAAGCUAGGCCAUCAUUAUGAAUGUGAUGCUUGUAAAGAGAAAUCGGGAUAUUAGAAAAGUACUGAGAGCUGUGCAUGUUGGUGGUAGAACCACAUAUGACUCUUCCUGCCCCCUGUCCAAUAUCUACAAAUGUCUGCCUUGAUUUCCCCCCAUUUCCAGGCCUGAUUUUCUAUCCAUCCUUCAACUCAAUGUAUAUCCUGUCCUAGUUCAGUAAAAUAAUAAAACUUUGACUAAGUUAGCAAGGGCAUUUCUGUUCAUUGCAGCCAGACAGCCCGAAACACCCUUUUUCAAAUAAAAAGCAGAAAUGUUAAGUAAUUUCCCAGCAAUGUACAACAAGCAAGAAAGUUGUGAUGUACUCCUGGUCCACGAUUCUUUCUGCUUUGUCACUCAGAUAAAGUCCAUCUCACAGCACUUUUUAACCGUGAAGCUUGAGUUUCCAAUGGGAAAAAUGUCUUUAAAGUUUAACAUAAGAGGAGUCAUUUCAGCAGAGUGGAUGAAAAAUACUCUAAUUUUAAAUAGCUAUAAAUAUGGUGCUAGAACUUUUAGAGACUUGUCAUCUAUUUCCUUUGGUGUUAUUUUCACAUUUUUCUUUGUUUUGUUUUGUUCUGGUCUGUUGAGAUAAGAUUUGGCUCUGCAGUUCAAGCUGGCCUAAAACUCACAGUCCUCUUUCCUCAACCCCCUGAGCACUGGGAUUACAGACAUGUACCACCACAACAGCCAUAUAUAUAUAUA